CAGUCGCCGCGGGAAAACGAAGGGGGCUAGCGUUGUUCGGAUUUACUGAGCGUAAAGGGCGCGUAGGCGGGCGAUUAAGUCAGAGGUGAAAUCCCAAGGCUCAACCUUGGAACUGCCUUUGAUACUGGUUGUCUUGAGUCCGGGAGAGGUGAGUGGAACUGCGAGUGUAGAGGUGAAAUUCGUAGAUAUUCGCAAGAACACCAGUGGCGAAGGCGGCUCACUGGCCCGGAACUGACGCUGAGGCGCGAAAGCGUGGGGAGCAAACAGGAUUAGAUACCCCGGUAGUCCCUGUCUCUUAUAC
rnacentral:rRNA from 1 species